rnacentral:rRNA from 1 species
AUUGAACGCUGGCGGCAUGCCUUACACAUGCAAGUCGAACGGCAGCACGGGUGCUUGCACCUGGUGGCGAGUGGCGAACGGGUGAGUAAUACAUCGGAACAUGUCCUGUAGUGGGGGAUAGCCCGGCGAAAGCCGGAUUAAUACCGCAUACGAUCUACGGAUGAAAGCGGGGGCCCUUCGGGCCUCGCGCUAUAGGGUUGGCCGAUGGCUGAUUAGCUAGUUGGUGGUGUAAAGGCCUACCAAGGCGACGAUCAGUAGCUGGUCUGAGAGGACGACCAGCCACACUGGGACUGAGACACGGCCCAGACUCCUACGGGAGGCAGCAGUGGGGAAUUUUGGACAAUGGGCGAAAGCCUGAUCCAGCAAUGCCGCGUGUGUGAAGAAGGCCUUCGGGUUGUAAAGCACUUUUGUCCGGAAAGAAAUCCUUGGCCCUAAUACGGUCGGGGGAUGACGGUACCGGAAGAAUAAGCACCGGCUAACUACGUG